rnacentral:miRNA from 3 species
GACAUGAAUGCAGAACUGGAA